ACCACUUCCCCCAGAGGAACAGUCUGAUGUGAUAAGAGCAAAGUAAUACAAAACAGACAGCUCACAUUUCCCUGAAACUAGAACUGCAAGAGGGUUUUGGCAGUUCCCAGAUGGCUGUGGAAGUCAGUGUAAGUUCUUCCCCCGGCUCCGGGUGGGGAAGGGGUGGGGGACCUUGCCUCUAAGGCUCCAUGCUGAUUCUAUGGCAGAGAGCGCAAAGCCUUGGAAAGAGCAGCCCUCUUUCCUCCGCUCCCGACAGUGUUGCUUUUCCCAGCAUCGCACACAUAGGAAUGAGGAGUCCUGCUUCACUUCGCUGGCUCCUUCUUCUACACCCAUACCUUUCGUCCCCCACAGCUGCCUCGCUAAAUCGCCCGGCUCCGAAAGAACUCCCCACGCUCUUGGCUGUUUUCUUGCCGCGCAGAGGGCUCAUCUUGAAUCAAGAGGCAGCAGUGUUUCCUCUGACAUCUUUAAGUAAUACUGUCUCCACGUAUGCCUUCCACACUCCCCUAACCUGAGAUUAUACAGACUCUUCUUGGAGAAGCAUGGAUGAAAGACUCAGGAGGAUCUGCUUCAAAUAAGACUCCACAUCCAAAGCGUGAUAAAUGGUGAGGGGAAUAAAGUCACAGACAACACGCCCGGUAUUGCCCAACUUUCCUCUGUGGAAGUGAAAUGAAUAAAUGUGGACACAGAGACAAGAAUUAGACAGGUUACUGUAGUAAUCCUAUAUGUUGAAAAGCCAAGCUGAUGGCCAGGGCAAAAUGAGAAAAGCCAGACUUAUGACGUAAAGAAUAGAGAGUCUUCAAAAUUGUGAUGUACGAUGUAUUGGAC
rnacentral:lncRNA from 1 species